rnacentral:rRNA from 1 species
UUUUAUGGAGAGUUUGAUCCUGGCUCAGGACGAACGCUGGCGGCGUGCCUAAUACAUGCAAGUCGAGCGAACAGAGAAGGAGCUUGCUCCUUUGACGUUAGCGGCGGACGGGUGAGUAACACGUGGGCAACCUACCUUAUAGUUUGGGAUAACUCCGGGAAACCGGGGCUAAUACCGAAUAAUCUGUUUCACCUCAUGGUGAAAUAUUGAAAGACGGUUUCGGCUGUCGC